rnacentral:rRNA from 1 species
GGGGAAUUGUUCACAAUGGGCGCAAGCCUGAUGACGCAACGCCGCGUGGGGGAUGAAGGUCUUCGGAUCGUAAACCCCUGUCGAAUGGGACGAAUAGCUUCUAGGUUAAUACCCUGGAGGAAUGACGGUACCGUUAAAGGAAGCCACGGCUAACUCUGUGCCAGCAGCCGCGGUAAUACAGAGGUGGCAAGCGUUGUUCGGAAUUACUGGGCGUAAAGGGCGCGUAGGCGGCCAUCUAAGUCAGACGUGAAAUCCCCCGGCUCAACCUGGGAACUGCGUCUGAUACUGGAAGGCUAGAGUUUGGGAGAGGGAUGUAGAAUUCCAGGUGUAGCGGUGAAAUGCGUAGAUAUCUGGAGGAAUACCGGUGGCGAAGGCGGCAUCCUGGACCAAUACUGACGCUGAGGCGCGAAAGCUAGGGGAGCAAACG